UUUCUCAAUGUAGUACUGCAAGUAGUAGUUGGGGUUUUGCUACGUCGGGGUUUUGUGGAGAAAUUAAUUCAAAGAUUUUUUUUCUGUUUGUAACUAGUUUAAUGUUUUGGAAAGUGUGAAGUUGUGUGCUCGGCUGCUUGCCUGGUUUAGAAUGAGUGUUUCCACACAUGUUAGUAAGUGGUAGUACUACAAAUAGUAGUAGAGAUGCAUGAUGCAGUCUUUUUUUGUCAAGCUUAGAGUUUAUAUGCUUUCGUUAAUAAUGUCUGGUAGUAGAGAAGAUGUAGACCCCUUUUGUUUUGGAAGCUUUGAUUUGAUAUGCUUACCCUUUUUUUCUUGUCGAAAAUAGACAAUAUGUUCUAGUUCUCCAAAUGGCUCCUGAUUACAAUUAUCAAGUUACAUCCAGUCGGAAUCAAUGUCUAUAAAUAUCACCGCUGGAUAAAUGAUCUACCAAGCCAGAUGCCUCAACAUGCAACCUAAUGCAAACUUUCUUUAUUUAUGUUGUGUCAGGAAAUAUAAAUUGAGUGUUGUAUUGGAUGACUUCACUUGGAAGCGUGAAGACGGCUCAUCUUUCAAGGCGGGUGGCGGAAAAUUUAACCUUGGGAGAGACAUUGACAUCACAACAUUCACCUGGUGAAGGCUCUAGGAUGAAAUGGAGGGCCGUGAUACGAUUUCGAGCAGUGACGUGGUUGAAGUUAAGAUUUGUGAAUGUAUAGAUAUCAAUGUCAAGGAAUCUCGGUGAUUUAGUAUUUCCACAACAAGAUAUUGUCCCACCUACCAAGGUGGUGGAGAAAACUAGAAUGGCAAGUGAGGUGCAAGUUUACAAGCCAGAUGCAACUUAACAAUAACAAUGUUUUUUUUUUCAUUCUUGCUUCACUUGAGAACACACUGAACAACUGUUAUUCUUUUUCUUUUUUAUCUUGUUCAGGACAUGAGUGUUGAGGACACAGGCAUCUAAUCGCACUAAAUCCUAACUCUAUAUGUUUGCAUCUUUUCUACUUUCCUAUAUACAUAUGCAAAUCCUAAUCAUAUAUGUUUGCAUCAUUCGUACUUUCCUGUAUGCAAUAUAUAGAAGCAAAAAAUCGAUGAUAUAACAUGUAAGAAGACUAGAAAAAAGAGUUCCAAAGGUAUCGUCUAUCACUUGGAUUAGUUGUAUAUAUAUUAUGUAUCUUGGAUUAGCUUUAGAAUUUUGAAAUUCAUACAUGUAUCUGAUUAGUAUCUUGGAUUAGCUAUAUAUGUAUUAUGUAUCUUGGGUUAGCUUUAGAAUUUAGAAAUUCAUACAAGUAUAUGAUUAGUAU
rnacentral:lncRNA from 1 species